rnacentral:rRNA from 1 species
AGUGAACGCUGGCGGUAGGCUUAACACAUGCAAGUCGAACGGCAGCACAGUAAGAGCUUGCUCUUACGGGUGGCGAGUGGCGGACGGGUGAGGAAUAUAUCGUAAUCUACUCUUUCGUGGGGCAUCACGUAGGUGAACUUACGCUCAUAUCGCAUACGCUCUACGGGUGUGAGCAGGGGAUCGUCUGAGCUGGUGGGAUUGAACGAGCCGAUGUCGGAUUAGCUAGUUGGCGGGGUAAAGGCCUACCCAGUGGACGAUCCGUAGCCGGUCUGAGUGGAUGGUCGGCCACACUAGAAGUGGACCACGGACCAGACUCCUGAGGGAGGCAGCAGUCGCGUAUGGGGGGCAGCAGGCGCGAGCCUGACCCAGCCAUACCGCGUGGGAGACGGAGGCCCUCGGUUCGUAAAGCCGUUUUGUUGGGAAAGAAAAGCAUCAGGCUAAGACCACGCGGUUCUGACGGUACCCGAUGAAUAAGCACCGGCUAACUACGUG